rnacentral:lncRNA from 1 species
CACUUUUUCUCAUAGGAUCUUCCAGAUUUCAUCAAAUCUAGGGCAGAAUAAUUUUAAAAAUUUAUUCUAUAUAUUUUAGAUCUAAUUCUCUAGAUCUAAUUUUAUUAUCUAAUAUUUAAAAUUUAAAAUUAAAUUUAAAUCUAUGAUGAAAAAAAGUACCUCAAGGGUAAUCUGAUUACCCUGUAGAUGAUCUCUGCAU